rnacentral:rRNA from 1 species
CCUACCGGGGGGGGCWGCCAGUAGGGAAUCUUCCGCAAUGGGCGAAAGCCUGACGGAGCAAUGCCGCGUGAGUGAUGAAGGUUUUCGGAUCGUAAAGCUCUGUUGCCAGGGAAGAACGCUUGGGAGAGUAACUGCUCUCAAGGUGACGGUACCUGAGAAGAAAGCCCCGGCUAACUACGUGCCAGCAGCCGCGGUAAUACGUAGGGGGCAAGCGUUGUCCGGAAUUAUUGGGCGUAAAGCGCGCGCAGGCGGUCAUUUAAGUCUGGUGUUUAAUCCCGGGGCUCAACCCCGGAUCGCACUGGAAACUGGGUGACUUGAGUGCAGAAGAGGAGAGUGGAAUUCCACGUGUAGCGGUGAAAUGCGUAGAUAUGUGGAGGAACACCAGUGGCGAAGGCGACUCUCUGGGCUGUAACUGACGCUGAGGCGCGAAAGCGUGGGGAGCAAACAGGAUUAGAUACCCCC